GACGAACGCUGGCGGCGUGCUUAACACAUGCAAGUCGAACGGGCCCGCUCCUUUGGGGGCGGGUUGAGUGGCGAACGGGUGAGUAUCACGUGAGCAACCUGCCCUCCUCUCCUGGAUAACCGCUUGAAAGGGCGGCUAAUACGGGGUGUUCCGGUUGGUCCGCAUGGGCUGGUCGGGAAAGAUUCAUCGUUGUGGUGUUUCGGUGGGGGAUGGGCUCGCGGCCUAUCAGCUUGUUGGUGGGGUGAUGGCCCACCAAGGCGGUGACGGGUAGCCGGCCUGAGAGGGUGGGCGGCCACACUGGGACUGAGACACGGCCCAGACUCCUCGGGAGGCAGCAGUGGGGGGUAUUGCACAAUGGGCGGAAGCCUGAUGCAGCGACGUCGCGUGAGGGAUGGAGGCCUUCGGGUUGUGAACCUCUUUCUCCGGUGGUGAAGGCCCCGCCCUUCGUG
rnacentral:rRNA from 1 species